rnacentral:rRNA from 1 species
AUACGUAGGUGACAAGCGUUAUCCGGAUUUACUGGGCGUAAAGGGCGUGUAGGCGGUCUUGCAAGUCAGAAGUGAAAUUCCUGAGCUCAACUCGGGCGCUGCUUCUGAAACUGCAGGACUUGAGUGCUGGAGGGGAUAGCGGAAUUCCUAGUGGAGCGGUAAAAUGCGCAGAUAUUAGGAAGAACACCGGUGGCGAAGGCGGCUAUCUGGACAGUAACGGACGCUGAGGCGCGAAAGCGUGGGGAGCAAACAGGAUUAGAUCCCCUGGUAGUCCACGCCGUAAACGAUGAAUACUAGGUGUAGGGGGUAUCGACUCCCUCUGUGCCGCAGUUAACACAAUAAGUAUUCUGCCUGGGGAGUACGGCCGCAAGGUCGAAACUCAAAGGAAUUGACGGGG